rnacentral:tRNA from 1 species
GGACAGGUGCCGGAGCGGUCUAUCGGGCACGCCUGGAAAGCGUGUGUUGGUGAAAGCCAACCGAGGGUUCGAAUCCCUCCCUGUCCG